rnacentral:rRNA from 1 species
AUUGAACGCUGGCGGCAUGCUUUACACAUGCAAGUCGAACGGUAACAGGUUAAGCUGACGAGUGGCGAACGGGUGAGUAAUGCAUCGGAACGUGCCCGAUCGUGGGGGAUAACGCAGCGAAAGCUGCGCUAAUACCGCAUACGAUCUGAGGAUGAAAGCGGGGGACCGUAAGGCCUCGCGCGAUCGGAGCGGCCGAUGUCGGAUUAGGUAGUUGGUGGGGUAAAGGCUCACCAAGCCGACGAUCUGUAGCUGGUCUGAGAGGACGACCAGCCACACUGGGACUGAGACACGGCCCAGACUCCUACGGGAGGCAGCAGUGGGGAAUUUUGGACAAUGGGCGAAAGCCUGAUCCAGCAAUGCCGCGUGCAGGAAGAAGGCCUUCGGGUUGUAAACUGCUUUUGUACGGAGCGAAAAGGCUCUCUCUAAUACUGGGGGCUCAUGACGGUACCGUAGGAAUAAGCACCGGCUAACUACGUGCCAGCCGCCGCCGUAA